GGAUAUAAGGGAGAUCUGGCUCUGCCAUCUGUCACCCCACUGACAGCCAGGGUUUAUUCAGCUGAUCUGGUUGGCUAGAUGAGUGUCCCCUUCCUCCCUCACCACUCCAUGUGUGUCCCUCCUGAAGCUGCAUGCUUAAUAAAAGAGGUUGAACAUCCCUAGUGGAGGAGGACAAGUCUUUGGUCAUGGGUAUACAAGUAGCUGCACUCCCCUGCUAAAACCUCCAAACAAGCUCUUGAAAUCUCAAGGUAGUCUCUAUGCUAUAGCUGGCCUUAACUCCUACUUGUGUCUUCUUGUGUCACAGUAAGU
ensembl:misc_RNA 7SK 7SK RNA